ensembl:lincRNA
AUGAAAGAUGCUUUUCUGGCCUCCUCUCUUCGGCAGCGCGCUGGUGGCUGUAAUAACAAGACAGGAUUCCUGAUGCCUCCAUCAGGGAACAGCAGGCACAAAACACCCGGUCACACAGAGAGCAGAGGAUUGCAGAUGGACCGCGGUCUGUCGCAGUGUAGUGGUGCUGGGUCCUGCUGUCUAGGAAGCCACUGCGAUCGGUGUUCACUGCAGACCGGGGUGACGUGGGGACGCGCUCGGGGCCGUGUGGCUCCUCACAGCUCCGCCGUCAGCUCGUCCUCUUUCAGACUGCCUGAGACAGUGUCUGCUAGGCUCCGGUGUUCCUUUCCCUGCUGCAUCGUACUCCUACAGGCCCCCCUCCACCAUUAAAAGCAUGUGACAAGUUAUAAUAAGAGGUAAUAAGGUUUGACAUUUAGUUAAUUAUUAAAAAUGUUUGGUGGGCAUUAAUUUGCAUUCAUUUAAAAUACUAAAUGUGAAAAUGUGCCUUAGCUUUAGGGACUGUCAAACUACCAAUUACCACAUGCACGCCCUAACCCUAAUGCACCCUAACCCUAACCCUAAUGAACCCUAACCCUAACCCUACCUCCCUUGCCCAGACAUCUCCCCCUUGCCUGUAAUGCUGCCCAAGGGACAGGGACACUGCUGGCCAGCUGAGGAACCUCUUAUAAACACUGAGAGCUUGAAGCACCUUCCCAGUGUUGGAACCACAUCUGACGUCUGUCCAGACAAGGGAUUCGAGCUCCUGUGUAUCGAGACACGGAUUUGAAUUCAUCUGGGAGAGGAAUCCAAGAAUUCAAGAUGAUUCAAGGCAGCCCUGCAGUCCGCCUCUAAUACAUAGUUGUAUUUGCUUAACCUCUGCUUGAAAGGGGGUGCUGCUUAUUUAGGGGAGGAGAAAGUCUGAAUCUGGUUUGAAUGUUCGCAGCUGCAAAUAAUCAGGCUCACAUGUGGCACGUUAGAAACCGCCUUUGCUUUCACAGACAUUGCUGUUGGAGGCUGCUGAGCCAUGUUGGACGAUGCUGGACUAUUCCUGUUGACCUGUGCAGCUGCCCAUCAAGGUGCAGAGAUGGUCAGGUGUCAGAGUGAUUGCCCUUUGACCUCUGACCUGAAGGUGCACAUGACCUACAGGAAAGUCACGCAGGUGCCUCGUUUCCUUCUGCCAGCGGAGGAAGAAGGUAGAAAGCGGACUGGAGCAGAGCUGCUCUUCCCCAGGCCUGGCUCACAGUGUCGCUGGUGAAUGCUGACUUGUAUCAAACACUUUUUCAAAUGAACACACUGUGUUUGUUGUUUUAGCUCACAAAUUUCCGAUCACAUACUUAACGUUUCUUGAAGGCUUGGUAGGUUGGACGUAGACUAUGACACGGUGCCCUGCAAAUCUAAGCACAGAAAGGCAGGAAGGCAGGAAGACAGGGAGUUGCAAUUCUGACUUUUCAUCGGGUCCCGGCUGCUCUCCUAUACUAUCAGACCGAUAAAUCUCUUGAUUGCCAUGCCAGCAUGAGCCCCAAGACACACAAUACAACUGUUUGCUCGGGAACCUCCCGAUUAAAGCAGCCCCUUCCCAACUUCACUGAUUUGUAUUUCCAUCAGAUGUGUUUUGCCAGAGAUGUAAUUUCAGUCACUUAAGGAUCAUUAAAAAGAGAUCAUAUUAAAUAUCGCUUCUGGAGCGGGAGAGAUAGAGAGCAAGGGAGGAAGAAAGGGGAGACUUGUUUUGUCAGCCAGUUCUGAGCGACUCUGUCCCCUCGCCUCCUGAGGGAGGGAGGGAGGACCAGCGACCAGGCUGGGUCAGUUUUCUGUAAAUCUGCCGAUGAAAUGUUGACAAAACAGCCAAUUUUCUGUAAUUUGGCUGUGGCCCUCUGUCAGCACCCCCGUCACUCAGAGCCCCUUCAUUUCAGAUAACACCAGCAGCUGACCUUUGACCUUUAUCUCAUCCCUGACUCCUCCAGCCCUGCAGAGACGUACAACAGCCCUGCCUUUCAGGUCAGGUGAGCGCAGGCCCCAGCUCCAUGAAGGAGGCCUUUGUUUCCCAGCUGGCUUUCCAGGGCUCUGCUAGAAAGGCUAAGAAAUGCAGUUAAUAGCUCAGGAGUGGCCUAAUCAUCAGCUGCCAUUACUGCUCCAAUAUCUGCGGGGAUGACAGACUUAUCAAUAACAGAGCCCCACGUGAGGCCGGCGCUGAGCCUUCAUCUGGAGCUGUGCUCCGCUGAGCAGAGGGCUGUCUCUCGGGCCCGCGCCAGGCAGCACACCUCUCCUCCUCUUCAUGUGCUGCCAGGAAUCAGUCACCGGGCCCGGCCCUCGUUAGGCCUUCUGAAGCUCCGGACAUUAUUUCAGCAAUUUGGUUUAAUUUAUUGAGUAAAUGUGAUGAGAUCAUUGAAAAAGAAGGGCUCUUUUCUGUUUGCAAUGAGAUGACAGCGCUUCUCGGAAAAUAAUUUCUCUUCCCUAAACCCUUAAUGAAGUGCAGACCAGGCUGCCUGUGCAGAUUGCUCCGGACUUGACUUAAUUAUACUCCUCUUUAUGAUUUUAAUUUUCAAGACAGAUUCAGUUUUUUCUUCUUAAAUAAAGGCCAUUUAUUAAAGUCCAUUUUCUUUUUAAACUCUACAAAACUCUAGUUUCUUCAUGAUCACGGGGGGCAGACGGAGCGGACGGGGCAGUGUUUAUUUGUGAACUGCCCCGCUCGGCUACUGCAGCUCAUUGUCGUUACCACAGUAUUGGUCUGUAGCCUGGCUCGAAGUCUACUCAUUGAACAGCUUGAAGAAUCAGAUCUGCUCCUGAAACACUGAGCUGGAAGGUUCCUUUGACUGGAUUGCUGUGACAGCAGCACAUCCUCUGGAAAUGGCUGAUUCCUUUCCAAGCGUGUUUCUUUAACUCUCUCAGCCUGAAACGGCCCUUAAUGUAAAACAAUAAAGUAUUUAUAAGCCUUCAUGACAGUCAGAAUAUUGUUGUUUCAGUGUCGGCUGCCAGGGAUAAUAAUGUCUGUGAUUGAAAUGUGUUUUUGUUGUGGGGAUGACAAAGGCACGUUCUCCUUUUUAAGGCUCGCUGAGGGCACAGCACUUAAAAAAGCGACCGAGUUCGUCCCUCUGUCCUCUUCUUCUCCGCGCUGAUCGCGUUUACCCAGGGGUGCAGGACGGAAUGAGCCCCAGCCCAGGGUCUUCUUCCAGCGGCAGCCAGCGUUAAUCGCAUUACCAAAACAUUAGGCAGCUUGGGUUUCAGACUGGCCAGGCAUACUGGAGGAUGGGGAGGCCCGGAUUCAGGUGGAAUGGUGCCACAUACCACAGGCACUCAGAUUGAUGCAGUGCUGGAUGGAGGGGGAGGCUGCUUGGACAGGAUCAGCUGCUCCCUUUCCGCACAGCAGAGCUGUUGAAACUGCGGUCGGGGCUUGUGGGAAGGAACAUGAGAGCAGGGCUGCACGGAGGGGCUGUUUCUCUCCUGCCAAGUCGUCUGAGCGGCUGUGAUGCUGGAACGCACGGACGCAUUCCGCUGCUGCCCUGGAAAGUUGGGGGGCACAGAGCAGAGUGGGGUGUGUGUGCGGAGCAGGGCCACGCCCCUCCGCUUGUGCCAUCGGUACCAUCGACCAAACCUGUUGGCCUCUCUGCUACUGCCUUCUUCCCUGUUUACUGUUUGGAUGCUGCACACUGGUGGGGGUGGAGGGGAUCCCCAUUACCUGUAAAGCGCUUUGAGUGGAGUGUCCAGAAAAGUUAUAUAAAAAAAGCUAUAUAAGUGUAAGCAAUUAUUAUUCAUUAUUAUUACUCCCAUCCUCUCCCAUCUGUGUCCAUCUGUGUCCAUCUGUGUCCACGCUUCUUGCUCUUGCUCUUUCCCUUGUUUUCGGAAGAGGAACUGAAGGCGAUUCCCAAACCUGUGGGCUUUUCCCUGUCAGUGGGUGAGAGGGAGGGCAUGGAGAGAACGUGGGCAGAUGACCAGGGCAGAGCCCGGGCAACCCGCGCUGCUCUGGCCGCCCGGGCAAAGCGAGCUUCCGCUGGGGAACUGACACGUGC